rnacentral:tRNA from 2 species
GGGCCCGUAGUCUAGGGGUUAUGACGUCGCCUUGACGAGGCGAAGGUCUCGAGUUCAAAUCUCGACGGGCCCA